AUUGAACGCUGGCGGCAGGCCUAACACAUGCAAGUCGGACGAGUGGCGAACGGGUGAGUAAUGUAUGGGAACCUACCAAGUAGUGGGGGAUAACUGUCGGAAAGGAUAGCUAAUACCGCAUAACAUUCGAUCGGCCCAUUUCUGAUUAGCUGGUUGGCGGGGUAAAGGCCCACCAAGGCAACGAUCAGUAGCGGGUCUGCGAGGAUGACCCGCCACACGGGUACUGCGAACCGGCCCAGACUCCUACGGGAGGCAGCAGUGGGGAAUUUUGGACAAUGGGAGCAAGCCUGAUCCAGCCAUGCCGCGUGUCUGAAUAAUGCCUUCGGGUUGUAAAGGACGUUUGUCGGGGAAGCGGUACCUGAAGAAUAAGCACCGGCUAACUCCGUGCCAGCCGCCGCGGUAAUAC
rnacentral:rRNA from 1 species